UACAGAGGUCUCAAGCGUUGUCCGGAAUUACUGGGCGUAAAGAGCUCGUAGGUGGUUUGUCGCGUUGUUCGUGAAAACUCACAGCUCAACUGUGGGCGUGCAGUGGAUACGGGCUGGCUGGAGGCAGGCAGGGGAGAACGGGAAUUCCCGGUGUAGCGGUGAAAUGCGCAGAUAUCGGGAGGAACACCGGUGGCGAAGGCGGUUCUCUGGACCGUAACUGACGCUGAGGCGCGAAAGCGUGGGGAGCAAACAGG
rnacentral:rRNA from 1 species